rnacentral:lncRNA from 1 species
GGGUCAAAUAUACAUGUGCUGAAACAUAUAACUCAAAAAGAAAUCAUCAUGGAUUAUCCCCUGGUAGUGUUUGUAACUGGGCAAUAAUUUCCUUUAUUGAUUUAAUUUUAACAAUUUUCAUUAUUAAUUUAUAUUUAACCAUUAACACAAAUGAUUAAGUUAAAACAUUUCAACUUUCCAGACGCAAAUGUUAAAAAACGGGAAAGAAAUAAAAUAUCUUACAAGACAUAAACAUGUAAAGAAUAAAUAUAUAUUUCAGCUUAAUAAAAAUAUUUUCAUAAUGGUACUUUGUCAUCAUUUUUAAAACUAAGUUCCAAACAUUAUUGCUCAGUUGAUAUGUGUCCUUCUGAUGCGGUACGAGCACAGGCACUUGUUUCUAUCCAUAGGAA